rnacentral:rRNA from 1 species
UACGGAGGGUGCGAGCGUUGUCCGGAAUCAUUGGGCGUAAAGGGCGCGUAGGUGGCCCGGUCAGCGUGCGGUGAAAGCUCGGGGCUCAACCCCGAGUCGGCCGUGCGAACUACUGGGCUGGAGCACUGUAGAGGCAGGCGGAAUUCCGGGUGUAGCGGUGGAAUGCGUAGAGAUCCGGAAGAACACCGGUGGCGAAGGCGGC